rnacentral:rRNA from 1 species
GCAGCCGUAUCGGAUUACUGGGCGUAAGCGUGCGUAGGCAGCUCCUUAAGUCAGAUGUGAAAGCCCCGGGCUUAACCUGGGAACUGCGUUUGAAACUGGGGAGCUAGAGUGUGGAAGAGGGGGGUGGAAUUCCAGGUGUAGCAGUGAAAUGCGUAGAGAUCUGGAGGAACACCGAUGGCGAAGGCAGCCCCCUGGGCUAACACUGACGCUCAGGCACGAAAGCGUGGGGAGCAAACAGGAUUAGAUACCCUGGUAGUCCACGCCCUAAACGAUGUCAACUAGUUGUCGGGGAAGCAAUUCCUUGGUAACGAAGCUAACGCGUGAAGUUGACCGCCUGGGGAGUACGGCCGCAAGGUUAAAACUCAAAGGAAUUGACGGGGACCCGCACAAGCGGUGGAUUAUGUGGAUUAAUUCGAUGCAACGCGAAAAACCUUACCUACCCUUGACAUGUACGGAACCUCGCAGAGAUGUGAGGGUGCCCGAAAGGGAGCCGUAACACAGGUGCUGCAUGGCUGUCGUCAGCUCGUGUCG